GGGAGGCAGCAGUGGGGAAUAUUGGGCAAUGGGCGAAAGCCUGACCCAGCCACGCCGCGUGCAGGAAGACGGCCCUCUGGGUUGUAAACUGCUUUUAACUGGGAAGAAAGAAGCCCAUGCGUGGGAAGUUGACGGUACCAGUUGAAUAAGCCACGGCUAACUACGUGCCAGCAGCCGCGGUAAUACGUAGGUGGCAAGCGUUAUCCGGAUUUAUUGGGUUUAAAGGGUGCGUAGGCGGUUUAAUAAGUCAGUGGUUAAAGGUAGCAGCUUAACUGUUUUACAUGCCACUGAUACUGUUGAACUUGAGUUGACAGAAGGCAGAUAGAAUUUCUGGUGUAGCGGUGAAAUGCUUAGAUACCAGAAGGAAUACCGAUUGCGAAGGCAGUCUGCUGCAGUCACACUGACGCUGUGGCACGAAAGCGCGGGGAUCAAACAGGAUUAGAUACCCUAGUAGUCGC
rnacentral:rRNA from 1 species